AGCCUGAACCAGCCAUGCCGCGUGCAGGAAGACGGCCCUAUGGGUUGUAAACUGCUUUUNUCGGGGAAUAAACCUCAUUACGUGUAAUGAGUUGAAGGUACCCGAAGAAUAAGGAUCGGCUAACUCCGUGCCAGCAGCCGCGGUAAUACGGAGGAUCCAAGCGUUAUCCGGAUUUAUUGGGUUUAAAGGGUGCGUAGGCGGUUUAUUAAGUCAGUGGUGAAAGCCCGGAGCUCAACUUCGGAACUGCCAUUGAUACUGAUAGACUUGAGUACAGAUGAAGUGGGCGGAAUGUGACAAGUAGCGGUGAAAUGCUUAGAUAUGUCACAGAACACCGAUUGCGAAGGCAGCUCCACUAAAGUGUAACUGACGCUGAGGCACGAAAGCGUGGGUAGCAAACAGGAUUAGAUACCCUGGUAGUCCACGCCCUAAACGAUGAUUACUCGCUGUUAGCGAUAUACAGUUAGCGGCUAAGCGAAAGCGUUAAGUAAUCCACC
rnacentral:rRNA from 1 species